rnacentral:rRNA from 1 species
UACGAAGGGGGCUAGCGUUGUCCGGAGUUACUGGGCGUAAAGGGCGUGCAGGCGGUGCGGUAAGUUUAGCGUGACAGUCUCCGGCUUAACUGGAGAAGGCCGCUGAAAACUGCUGGACUUGAGGGCCAGAGAGGGACAUAGAAUUCCGGGUGGAGUGGUGAAAUGCGUAGAUAUCGCUUGGAACGCCAAAGGUGAAAACAGGUUGCUGGGGUUGUGCCGACGCUGAGACACGAAAGCCAGGGGAGCAAACGGG